GACGAACGUUGGCGGCGUGCUUAAUACAUGCAAGUCAACUGAAGCAGUGGUAGCAAUAUCGCUGUGGAGGUGGCGCACGGGUGAGUAACACGUAGGUAAUCUGCCUUCAGGUCUGGCAUAACUCCGGGAAACCGGGGCUAAUAGCAGAUGAUGCAGCGGCUCGACAUCGAGACAGUUGUUAAAGCUAUGGCGCCUGAAGAUGAGCCUGCGUCUGAUUAGCUAGUUGGCGGGGUAACGGCCCACCAAGGCAACGAUCAGUAGCUGGGCUGAGAGGAUGAUCAGCAACACUGGAACUGAGACACGGUCCAGACUCCUACGGGAGGCAGCAGUAAGGAAUAAUGCUCAAUGGGUGAAAUCCUGAAGCAGCAACGCCGCGUGAGGGACGAAGGGCUUUUGCUUGUAAACCUCUGUAGUGAGAGAAAAAAAUCCCAAUCUUUGGGACAUGAUGGUAUCUCAAAAGUAAGCCCCGGCUAACUACGUG
rnacentral:rRNA from 1 species